UGCUGCACAAACAGAAGGACAGACAGGGCUCUAACUACUCAGUCUGAAGCUCUAUAUUACACAAAUUGCAUACUAUUUCCUGUGAAAUAUUACAGUAUGCAACGCUGGACACUACGGCGGCAUAAAUAUCCCAUAAUGCAAUGCGGUAGUUCAUAACAAACAUUGACAGACAGCUCUGUAACAUCAA